GUGUCAGCAGCCGCGGUAAUACGGAGGGGGCUAGCGUUGUUCGGAAUUACUGGGCGUAAAGCGCACGUAGGCGGCUUUGUAAGUUAGAGGUGAAAGCCCGGAGCUUAACUCCGGAACUGCCUUUAAGACUGCAUCGCUCGAAUCAUGGAGAGGUCAGUGGAAUUCCGAGUGUAGAGGUGAAAUUCGUAGAUAUUCGGAAGAACACCAGUGGCGAAGGCGACUGACUGGACAUGUAUUGACGCUGAGGUGCGAAAGCGUGGGGAGCAAACAGGAUUAGAUACCCCUGUAGUC
rnacentral:rRNA from 1 species